rnacentral:rRNA from 1 species
GACGAACGCUGGCGGCGUGCUUAACACAUGCAAGUCGAACGAAGUGGCGAACGGGUGAGUAAUACGUGGGUAACCUGCCCUCCUUUUUGGGAUAAGCCUUUGAAACGGGGACUAAUACCGAAUAAAGGGGGAUGGGGUCGCGGCCUAUCAGCUUGUUGGUGGGGUGAUGGGCUACCAAGGCGGUGACGUGUAGCCGGCCUGGGAGGGUGACCGGCCACAGAGGGACUGAGAUACGGCCCAGACGGCUACGGGAGGCAGAAUGUGGAGAUAGUGCACAAUGGGCGAAAGACUGAUGCAGCGACGCCACGUGGGGGAUGAAGGCUUUAGGGUUGUAAACCUGUUUCGCUAUCGAACCGGUAGGUGGAGAAGAAGCGCCGGCUAACUACGUGCCAGCAGCCGCGGUAAUAC